ACUCUUCUCUGGUUCACAAGCAUGAUGAUUCAGUAUUCACAACACUGUGUGACAUGUGCCUCCCCCAAACCUUAAGACAUUGGGACUUUACCGUUCUGAUG
ensembl:snoRNA